GGAAGCAUGGGUGAGCGGUCGAAACCAGCCCUCUGCUAAGGGGCCGAGCCUCAAAAAGACUCCGAAAGUUCGAAUCUUUCUGCUUCCG
rnacentral:tRNA from 1 species